rnacentral:rRNA from 1 species
GGCGGCUAGGCAGCCGAUUUUUAGAACAGGGGAACUCUGCGGUUAAGCGUGUUUGGGCGAGAAUAGUACUAGGAUGGGUGACCUCCCGGCAAGUCCUCGUGUUGCACCCU